rnacentral:rRNA from 1 species
UACGUAGGGGGCAAGCGUUGUCCGGAAUCAUUGGGCGUAAAGCGCGCGUAGGCGGCCCGGUAAGUCCGCUCUGAAAGUCCAGGGCUUAACCCUGGAAAGCGGGUGGAUACUGCCGGGCUUGAAUCCGGAAGAGGCGAGUGGAAUUCCUGGUGUAGCGGUGGAAUGCGUAGAGAGUCGGAAAGAACACCAACGGCGAAAGCACUCUGCUGGGCCGACACUGACACUGAGAGACGAAAGCUAGGGGAGCGAAUGGG